AAGAAGAAGAAUAAGUAAAAGGGGUCAUAGGAACUUCAUAAUUAUGGUCUGAAUUGGUUGCAGAGAAUAAAUUAUCACUCCCACUUUUCAAUUUUUUGAUCUCUUCUUCUUCACCUUUCCCUUUCUCUUCUCUUUCACCAUCUUUCUCAUCUUUCUCAAAUAGAGACGGAACGGUUCCUUUACUCAACUUGACAGUCAAGGGAAGAGAUGAUUCA
rnacentral:ribozyme from 13 species